AGAGUUUGAUCCUGGCUCAGGAUGAACGCUAGCUACAGGCUUAACACAUGCAAGUCGAGGGGAAACGAUAGAGAAAGCUUGCUUUUUCUAGGCGUCGACCGGCGCACGGGUGAGUAACGCGUAUCCAACCUGCCCAUCACUUGGGGAUAACCUUGCGAAAGUAAGACUAAUACCCAAUGACGUCUCUAGAAGACAUCUGAAGGAGAUUAAAGAUUUAUCGGUGAUGGAUGGGGAUGCGUCUGAUUAGCUUGUUGGCGGGGUAACGGCCCACCAAGGCGACGAUCAGUAGGGGUUCUGAGAGGAAGGUCCCCCACAUUGGAACUGAGACACGGUCCAAACUCCUACGGGAGGCAGCAGUGAGGAAUAUUGGUCAAUGGACGAGAGUCUGAACCAGCCAAGUAGCGUGCAGGAUGACGGCCCUAUGGGUUGUAAACUGCUUUUAUAAGGGAAUAAAGUGAGUCUCGUGAGACUUUUUGCAUGUACCUUAUGAAUAAGGACCGGCUAAUUCCGUGCCAGCAGCCGCGGUAAUACGGAAGGUCCGGGCGUUAUCCGGAUUUAUUGGGUUUAAAGGGAGCGUAGGCCGGAGAUUAAGCGUGUUGUGAAAUGUAGACGCUCAACGUCUGCACUGCAGCGCGAACUGGUUUCCUUGAGUACGCACAAAGUGGGCGGAAUUCGUGGUGUAGCGGUGAAAUGCUUAGAUAUAUCACGAAGAACUCCGAUUGCGAAGGCAGCUCACUGGAGCGCAACUGACGCUGAAGCUCGAAAGUGCGGGUAUCGAACAGGAUUAGAUACCCUGGUAGUCCGCACGGUAAACGAUGGAUGCCCGCUGUUGGUCUGAAUAGGUCAGCGGCCAAGCGAAAGCAUUAAGCAUCCCACCUGGGGAGUACGCCGGCAACGGUGAAACUCA
rnacentral:rRNA from 1 species